GGAAAGUUGAAAAGAACUCUGAAGAGAGAGUUAAAUAGUACGUGAAACUGAAUAAGUGGAAGCGUAUAGAGUUGUCGAAAGAUGGUAAUAAUAAGUUGUAUAGUAGUGUAACAGUUUAUAAAAUGUUUCCGUAUGGUUCAUUUUGUGAAUGUAGUUUGCUGCUAUGCGAUGCACUUGUUGCCAUUGUGCUGAUACAGUUGAUUGAGACUUUGGAAAUAAUAUUAGAGGGCUUUCCUUUACGGGAGAGUAUCCUGGUAUUAUGGAUAAAGUAUUUGGUUAGCUGUUUUCUGUACGGAGUAUAAAAGAGGAUGUAAGUAUGAUAGUUUUUAAGAGUUAACGCAUGCGUUGGCUUUUUUAGAUUGUUAUAUCUUGUGUUUAAUGAUAUGCUUCUAUAUCAGUAUAAAAGACAAUCACCUAUAUGUCCCGUCUUGAAACACGGACCAAGGAGUUUAUCGUAUGUGCGAGUCAUUAAGUGUUAAAAACUUAUUGGCGUAAUGAAAGUAAAGUAUUCUUUAUCGGAUAUGAUAUAUGAUUGCUUUCCGUUCAUAUGGAAGGUAAGCAGUAUAGUCCCAUCCAAUUUGUUUACAAAUGGGUGGAGAUAGAGCAUAUGCGAUGAGACCCGAAAGAUGGUGAACUAUGCCUGAGCAGGAUGAAGUCAGAGGAAACUCUGAUGGAAGUCCGAAGCGGUUCUGACGUGCAAAUCGAUCGUCUGACUUGGGUAUAGGGGCGAAAGACUAAUCGAACCAUCUAGUAG
rnacentral:rRNA from 1 species